rnacentral:rRNA from 1 species
UACGUAGGUGGCAAGCGUUGUCCGGAUUUACUGGGCGUAAAGAGCGCGCAGGCGGUCGUUCAAGUCGCGUGUGAAAGCCCCCGGCUCAACUGGGGAGGGUCACGCGAUACUGAUCGACUCGAAGGCAGGAGAGGGUAGUGGAAUUCCCGGUGUAGUGGUGAAAUGCGUAGAUAUCAGGAGGAACACCGGUGGUGUAGACGGCUUUCUGGACCGUAACUGACGCUGAGACACGAAAGCGUGGGUAGCAAACAGG